rnacentral:rRNA from 1 species
AUACCAGAUAUUAUGAGAUUCUCGCAUGAGAAACUUAUGAAAGCUAUAUGCGCCAAGAGAGAGCCUUGCGUUCCAUUAGCUAGUUGGUGGGGUAACGGCCCACCAAGGCGACGAUGGAUAGCCGGCCUGAGAGGGUGAACGGCCACAAGGGGACUGAGACACGGCCCUUACUCCUACGGGAGGCAGCAGUGGGGAAUAUUGGACAAUGGGCCACAAGCCUGAUCCAGCAAUUCUGUGUGCACGAUGAAGGUCUUCGGAUUGUAAAGUGCUUUCAGUUGGGAAGAAGAAAGUGACGGUACCAACAGAAGAAGCGACGGCUAAAUACGUGCCAGCAGCCGCGGUAAUACGUAUGUCGCAAGCGUUAUCCGGAUUUAUUGGGCGUAAAGCGCGUCUAGGCGGAAAAAUAAGUCUGAUGUUAAAAUGCGGGGCUCAACUCCGUAUUGCGUUGGAAACUGUUUUUCUAGAGUACUGGAGAGGUGGGCGGAACUACAAGUGUAGAGGUGAAAUUCGUAGAUAUUUGUAGGAAUGCCGAUGGAGAAGUCAGCUCACUGGACAGAUACUGACGCUGAAGCGCGAAAGCGUGGGGAGCAAACAGG